AAGAAAAAAAAGGAAUUUGUAUUGAAGAUUCUGAUAAAUUAUUCCGAAGUUUAGAGUAUAAAUACCGAAAUCGCUUUGAUUAGUUUACUUGCUUAUCUUGUGAGAAAAGCAAAGCUAUCUACAAACAUGAAGGCUGUUAUUGCUAUUUUCCUUUUCGCCAUGAUCAUCGGGGCCAUGUCCCAAGCCUACAACUAUGGCUACACCUCCUACACACCCGGAGCACGAGUAUCCCACUAUGCUUCCUCUGGAGUUCCCGGAUACGUAGCCCCAGCAUACGCGUAUAACUACGCAUAUGGAGCCUAUCCUUACAGAGUAUUGUAAAGUGCUGGAAAAGUGCGUGGCUGGAAUUGGAACAGACGAUUGUCGACGAUAUUGGAAUCCUGAGCAAGAUAUAAAUUUUUAAAAAAUUCUUUUGACUGAACAAAACUUCUUCUUUGUGCACUGUCAAAAUGAUCAUUUUCUUAAAUUCUCUUUCAAUAAAAUCUUUCUUCUAUUUGUA